CUGAAAAACUUUGUUCAAGGGCCUUGCCCCGAGUCAGCUCAGCAAAGGGCUGAGUAAGGGGGUGAUGCACAACCUGCAGAGCCCGCAGCACCUGACAAAGGGGGACCCACCUUGCAGAGUGGUGAGCCAAUGCUGGAGCCCAGCAGCACCCCAGGGAACGCUGCGCCAAGGAAGCCCCGGGGAGGCGAGUGCAUGGAGAAGCGCCAGCGCCGGGCUCUGCCCUGGCCUGCCCUGCCCAGACGGCCCAAACCCGGCACGGCCGCCGGCAGCUCCGCAGGCAGAGCGAGCGCUCCUCCAGCUGCCUGCGAACCCCCUCCCCAGCUGCCACUUGCAAAGCAGGCGAGGGGUCCAACCGUGCCGGGAGAAGCCAAGCUGGGUCCCCCUGGCAAGGCGGGAUCCUCACCUGGGCUGUCGGCACCACCUCACCAGGUUUAACUUCAGUAUUUUAUUAAAAAAGAGCAAACCCAACCGAGACCAUAAGUACUCAAAGAGUCCCGAGUGUUUAGAGAAAAAAACAGCCAGACGCAGUCGUGGUGCUGCCUGCCGAGGCGGUGGGCAGGGGCUCCCCACACCUCACUGCUGCUCCGGAUUUCGGGAGCAGCACUGUAACCCCCCGAGGCGCCAGGCAGGCCCCGGCGGACAAGGAUCCUCUGUUCAGCGCUGGAGCUCCCACGGGCCCGGAGAAGAGGAAAAGCAGAGCAAAGCUGCCUUUUCUCCAGGAAAAAAAAAAAAAACAACCUUCCCCCGGCUUCCGCUGCGGUUUGGGAGGGUUCAAGGGCACCAGGCACCCACUCGCACCAGACCCCGCCGCCUGCUCUGCCGGGGCAGGCAGGAGCAGGGGGUCGGGCACGGGGCCGGCGGGAGCUCAGCGGCCCCGCAGCACCUGGGCACGACAGCAGCCCCGCAGUGCUGCGGGCACGGCGCCAGCAGCGCCCGGCAAGGCGCCGCAGGGCCAAACCCCGACACCCCCCCUUAGCGAGGGGUCGCGNNNNNNNNNNNNNNNNNNNNNNNNNNNNNNNNNNNNNNNNNNNNNNNNNNAGCGCCGGGCGGGCUCGGGGCGCAGCGGCACUGCAGGGAGAGGAGCCCUGCCAGGGCCGGGCAGGGAGAGCUGCG
rnacentral:lncRNA from 1 species